UUGAUUACCAAUCAACUACUAGCCUGGGAGAUAAAAGCCAAAGCUGUAAACAGACAGGUCAGGUAAAUAUAUGAAUGAAGAAAUUGAAACUAGAAGUAAACAUCAUGGGAAGUCAAAUUAUAGGGCAAGUAUUUUUCCUUCAUAUCUUAUUUAACAUAGUCAAACCAUGCAAUACUUAUAGGCUUAACUAUUGUUUUCAUAGAAACAAUGUUAUUUUAAAUAUCAUGAGAUAGUGUAUUUAAGAGAUAUUGUAGUUCAAGUUUCCAUAUUUAAUCAGCUUAACAAGUGCACAUUCUCUGCUGCCAACAGUACCAAUUUGUCAUCCAAGCAACAAAUAUUCCUUGGUAAUCUGCUAUCAGAUGACAGUUAUCUCUUUGGCAUUUUUAUGAAUUAAAGCUUUCAAAGCCAAAGUAAGACUUAAUUUUUUCUUUUCUUUAACUGCUAAUUCUAAAAUAAUUUAUCAUUGCAUGUUAAAAAUAACUUGUUAUACAUUUUUCUGUGUUUUUGGUCAAGCUUCAGAUUUGCUUAGCAUAUUCCUGUACUACAUAUCAACAAAUGUUUGAUGGUUUGUCUGGUUCAUCUCUUAACACUAUGAAGAUGGCUACACUAAUCUUAACAAGCAAACAUUCUGUUGCCAACAGUACCAAUUUGUCAUCCUAUCCAAGCAACUACUAUUCCUUGGUAAUCUGCUAUCAGAUGAUUACAGUUUUCUCUUUGGCAUUUGUAUGAAUUAAAGCUUUCAAAGCCAAACCUUAGAUUUGGUUAGCAUAACCCUGAACUGCAUAUCAACAAAUGUCUAAUGGUCUGUCUGGUUCAUUUCUCAAGACUAUGAAGAUGGCUACACAGGUAUCAGCUAUCAGCAGUGCACCCCUAUGAUACACAAGUCUUCAUUGCCAAGUCACUCUGCCAAACAGUGUGUACACCUUUCUUGCAUUGGUAGUGACCCACUUUACUGUCAUGAGUCUGGAUAUGUCAGGCCAAGGAGAUCAAGUUUGUGUCCAAGGUUACUUAGUUAAUUCUCUAAGAACAAUAGACAGACUCUACAUGCUACUGAUCUGGAGGUUAGUGGCUCAAUCAUUGUGCACUGAUUCUUCACUGAUGCCUUGAUUCCCCACUGUCAACUUUAUUGUCAUAAAGUUUAUCUAGUGAUCUACAUAUCAAGACUUAAUGGUCAAUUAAACAUGAGGUCAAGGAAAAAGGAUGAACAUUUCAAGGCUACUGAAGGAACAUUAAACGUCUCUCUCACUGUGAAAAGAUUCUACCGAUCUACAAAUGAUCAACAUGUUUUAUCUUAAGUUCGUCUGCCAUUUCUUCAAAUGGAGCCAUAUUAAGAAUAAGAUUCUUUUUGUUCUUCCUUAGGUUCAAAUGUAUCAGUUGUUUUUGUUGACAGAUAUCAAGUUUAGUUGCCUACCAGCAGUUUGGUGCUACAAGUCAACAACAGUCAGACUAAAUUAAAUAAAGCCAUGUCUAUUUCUACAUGAUUUUGUUGCUACUAACCUGGUGUUACUAACAACUAACUCGAAAAGAGAGAGGGGAAUUAUCAUCUUAUUCAUGUACUAUUUACAUUAGAUUUUUACCUAAUUAUUAAAUUUUUACUACCCUUACUAUUUUAACUGUGAAUAGACCUUGAUUUUAAUGAUUUAACUGUAUAGAAUUUAGCCCCUGUUAUGUAGAGAGAGAGAGUAGUCUUUAAGGGACUGCAGGCACGACAUGGCCUAAAUUGUGCAGAUGUGCAUAAAAUCAAAGAAAUAAAACAUUAACAAAAUGUGUAUUAUAAUUGUCACUUUUCCUCUACUUAGAAUUUUUUUCUCUCCUAGAUUUUCAUAAUUUUUUGUUGAAGUCAUUUCAGUUCUCAAUUAUUUUGUGCACCAAGUUACAAGAAAAAAUUUAAGCAAGAGAGGUCACUACACUAAGACUUUGUCUUCUCAUAAGAAAGGAUGGCUGCCUGGUCAUGUGAUAUGUGCACUGGACUGUGUAUGGUCAUCUUGAUGCUCAUAUCUUGCCUGAUGACAUUUAUUCUGCUGAACAUUUGGUCAAGGAAGUAGAUUCUCUUCAGCUCUCAAGAAACAUUCAAAACAUGUCAAACAUUCGACAAGAAUAUCAAGUGCAAUGUACAUACCAACAUGAUGAAAAGGUAGACAACAUGAAGAUGUAGACCAACAUGAUGAAGAUGUAGACCAACAUGAAGAGGUAGACCAGCAUGAUGAAGAUGUAGACCAACAUGAUGAAGAUGUAGACCAACAUGAAGAUGAAAUGUAAACCAAAAAAUGGGUCAAGAGAUGUAUGGAAUACAAUGUGAACAUCUUGAGAAGUAAAACAAUUCCUAGAGGCAAAGACACAGACACACCGGAUCUAUUAGAGAUUUUCCUUUUCUACCAUCAUUUAGAGACUUCCUUGUGCUCUAAGGGAAUAUGUCAUUAUCUUUUGAUUGCUAAUUGGCAUUGAUGUUUUUACAUUCCUACUGCGUCUGAAAGAAAUUAACAUUUCCCUAAUGCUACUUCAAAACCAGACCUUCUCAAGACAAUUUUAGUGACCAAGCUGCAAUAUGGGACUCAGUAGGAAACAAUGAAGAAUGCUCCUAACCUCAGGUUGAGUAACCAUGCUCACCUACUAGAGUGGCGACAAAUACUUCUACACCCACAGUUAUACAUCCUGAACCCUGUAACCCAACCUCACAACAUGGUUACAUUACCGGAAGUGGUCGCAAGGUCAGAAAACCUAACAGAUACAAUGGAUAGAACAAUGAACAGGUACAAAUACUCAAGUGAUGUACUUUGUGAGAACUAUUUAGGUGGAAUCACCAUAAUUGACUUGUAUAAAUCUUGUUCUAUAUUUAGGUAUAUCUUGACAAUCAGUCCAGUCAUUUGUUCAUUUUUUUUUUAAAUAUUCCUUUUUUUCCCCUCAAUCUUCUUGUUGUUUCAGUUACAUGUUUUUGUAUUUUGAAGGAGGAAGGUGCUUUGGUAUAUUAUCCUUAUUAUUAUUGUACCAGUAUUAAGCAAACUUGUAUAUCUUUAAUUAUUCAUGAAUUCUAAAGCAGAACGUCACUUCCACCGGAAAAUGUUGUAACAACUAUACGUGUCUUCAGUUAACAUUCAAUACUCUGUACAGUCACAACGCCAAAGCCUUACUAGAUUAUGCUUUUAAUUCAAUUUGUUAUCUCCCCUGCUUUAGUGUGCUAUCAUAUAAUUUUUUGUGUCACAUCCCUGCACAAUUUGUUCUAUGCUUUUUUACAGUAUAAAUAGCGACUUGACAUUAUUUAGCUCUAUUAUAAUAUUGUUAUAUUAUUAAAUUUAAAAUAAAACUGUUAACAUAUUCUAUGCUGUUAUAAUAUAAAUGUUUUGCUGUUACCAUGAAUACAGUUUUGAGUUUUUGUCUGAUUUCUUUGAGGAGAAAUUUUUCAUAAAUAAUAAUAAUAAGGCUUAUCUUCAAGUCCGAAGAUUAGUGAGAAGUAUGCAGUAUUCCCCAGCUAGGACCUACAUAUUUUGCUAUAAAUAAAGAGUAUAAUAAUAUUUACUACUUGGUAUUGUCAGUCUUCACUAAAGCAAUGAGUUUAUCCCCUUAGUGUGUUUAAAAUUUUCAAAUACUAAUUCACUUUGUAUUAUCUAUUGGUGAUCAUGGGGUAUCCACUUUGUCAUCUCCAUAGUCUCUGGUGUUAAUACUCAGUGUCCUGUUGGAGGUUACGGCUAAGAUGUUAUCUCUCUUUCUGAUGGAACACAUGUAAAACCAACAAAACAAACAUUAGACCUAGACUUUAUUAACAGGUAAAUUUUUAUAAUUGUGAACUGGCGCUCCCAAAGCUACUUUUAUGUAUUUUAAAUUUUACUUCUGUAGGCUAGUGCUAAGCUGUAUACUUGUAUUUCUGCCUAUUAUAUGGGUUAGGGUGGAGUACUUAAAAUAGAGCCUAUGCUGUUUCCUGUACUGUUGACCAGUGGUCUCUGUGUCAGUUUUAAUUAUUCUGUACCUGGGACUGCCUGUAAGUUUCAGAAUUUUUCUUUUAUUUUUUUAAAUUUUACUAUGUGUAAAUCUGUUUUAUAUUUGAACAACUGUCAAAAUAACUAGCAGUUUUUUUUUUCUAAAGUUUGUUUUAAAAAUAUGGCCAAGCCCUGCCCAGUGCUGUCAUGAUGGCCACUUCUAAUGUUUAUGUACUAGAUUGUAACUGCUACCUUAGUCAUUGAAAUUAAAGUCUCAUUUUUGAAUUU